rnacentral:rRNA from 1 species
UACGGAGGGUGCAAGCGUUAUCCGGAUUCACUGGGUUUAAAGGGUGCGUAGGCGGAUAGGUAAGUCAGAGGUGAAAUCUUCGAGCUUAACUCGGAAACUGCCUUUGAUACUAUCUAUCUUGAAUAUUGUGGAGGUAAGCGGAAUAUGUCAUGUAGCGGUGAAAUGCUUAGAUAUGACAUAGAACACCUAUUGCGAAGGCAGCUUACUACGCAUAUAUUGACGCUGAGGCACGAAAGCGUGGGGAUCAAACAGG